GGUAUGCUAAUGAGGAGUUGGUCAGGCAGGAGCUGAAUGUCAACUAGUCAAAGAUGGAGGCUGGAGCGGGGAGGCCAUGAGGCAUGGAAUGAAGCUCCCUCCAGUCACCUGCCGCAAGACACAUUAUCCAGCUUCCUAACCUUAAGGAUGAGACCCUAUCAAUAUUGCCUCUGCUUUUGUGAUCAGGGUAGUAGUGCAAUAUUGCUUAUAGGGUCUUUUCUUUUGAGGGUUAUUCUUCACGGAGAGAAGAAAGCCACAGCAGGAAAAAAAUAAUCCUGUGUGCCCAUCGA